rnacentral:lncRNA from 1 species
CUGUGCCGGGCCGGGGCCGGGGCUCAGCUCGGUGCUGGCCCUCACAGGGAGCCCUGGUGCGAAAGGAGCGGUCGCUGGGAGCGCUGUGUGGGCAGAGCUUCUGGAAAGAUUUGGUGAAAACGAGCGCUUUAAAAAGCUGUUUGCAGUGAUGUGCUCAGUGACCCUGCUGAGGGACUGCAGGGUUUAUAUUCUGUGCUACUUCUAGACUGGUUUUCCAAAUGGAAUGCUCCUUCUGGAUGGGAAUCUGGCACACCUUCUAGCUUCCUUUCAGCUGACAUAACUAUCUCAGCAUCUUGAGGGAAGUGUGAGUAUGCUGAAGGUCUCAUGAGCACCCAUCAGAAAUGGAAUAAUUCCUGUCAUUUUAACUCUCCAAUCCUGGCUGCAAAAAUGUGGAGGUAUCUUUUGGGUCAUGGGGGUUGUGAACUUUUUUCUGAGGUUGCACUUCCAGCUGUCUUUCCCAGUCUGUGACACUGCUGCCUGGAGUGAAAGAGGUGUCAAAUCAACCUCUGUCAAAUCAAUGGCAUUUAAUAUAAGGAAGAUGACCUUGUAAUUUCUUUCAGAUUUCAGUAUUUCAGCAUUUUCAAUUGUUUCAUUAUUAGAACAUUUCUUUGCAGAGUUUAGCUUCAAUUUUGGCUAUGUGUAAAAGUGAGAGAUCACUUGGACAAUGAAAUUUGAAUAUUCCUCACAGGGUUUACCAGGGUCAUGGAUGCCCAAUUUAGGAACUUGUUGAAUAGAUUACAAUGCUCAUUUACUUUUGAAUGUUCUGCUACCAGUCUAUUAUUUUAGUAUUUUUAUACAUAAUCCUUUAAAAGGUUGUAUAAAGUUACUGUUUCUCAAAUCUCAACUAGGCUACAGUCUCUCAAACACAAGAGGAAUAUACAGUGUAUAAAAAGAGGAAUCUUCAGCCCCAGUGGUUGUACUGAAGUUAUUUUGCCAGGGCUAAAAGAGGAGAUCAAAAUACACUGAUCUGUUAAAAGACAGACCCUAAAUAAAUGGAUGUAUUUGUACA